CGUGUAGGCGGAGAUGCAAGUUGGGAGUGAAAUCCAUGGGCUCAACCCAUGAACUGCUUUCAAAACUGUAUCCCUUGAGUAUCGGAGAGGCAAGCGGAAUUCCUAGUGUAGCGGUGAAAUGCGUAGAUAUUAGGAGGAACACCAGUGGCGAAGGCGGCUUGCUGGACGACAACUGACGCUGAGGCGCGAAGGCGUGGGAGCAAACA
rnacentral:rRNA from 1 species